rnacentral:rRNA from 1 species
ACGAACGCUGGCGGCGUGCCUAAUACAUGCAAGUCGAACGGUCUUUCUAUGGAAGCUUGCUUCCACUGAGAAGAUAGUGGCGAACGGGUGAGUAACACGUGGGUAACCUGCCCAUAAGAGGGGGGAUAACAUCCGGAAACGGGUGCUAAUACCGCAUAGUUUUCUUGAUCGCAUGAUUGAGAAAGGAAAGACGGCCUUUGUGCUGUCGCUUAUGGAUGGACCCGCGGCGUAUUAGUUAGUUGGUGAGGUAACGGCUCACCAAGACGAUGAUACGUAGCCGACCUGAGAGGGUGAUCGGCCACAUUGGGACUGAGACACGGCCCAAACUCCUACGGGAGGCAGCAGUAGGGAAUCUUCCGCAAUGGACGAAAGUCUGACGGAGCAACGCCGCGUGAGUGAAAGAAGGUUUUCGGAUCGUAAAACUCUGUUGUCAGAGAAGAACAAGUUGGAGAGUAACUGCUCCAGCCUUGACGGUAUCUGACCAGAAAGCCACGGCUAACUACGUGCCAGCCGCCGC